rnacentral:rRNA from 1 species
AUUGAACGCUGGCGGCAGGCUUAACACCUGCAAGUCGAACGAGCGGCGGACGGGUGAGUAAUGUCUGGGAAACUGCCUGAUGGAGGGGGAUAACUACUGGAAACGGUAGCUAAUCCCGCAUACCAUCAGGUGUGCCCAGAGGGGCGUAGCUAGUAGGUGGGGUGAGGGCUCACCUAAGCGACGAUCCCUCGCUGGUCUGAGAGGAUUACCAGCAAAACCGGAACAGAGACACGGUCCCGACUCCUCAGGGGGGCAGCAGGUGGGAAUAAUGCACAAUGGGGGCAAGCCUGAUGCAACCAUGGCCCGUGUGAGAAGGAGGCCUUCGGGUUUUAAAGCACUUUCAGCGAGGGGGCGGUACUCGCAGAAGAAACACCGGCUAACCCCGGGCCAAGCGCCGCGGUAAUAC